ACGAACGCUGGCGGCGUGCCUAAUACAUGCAAGUCGAGCGGACUUGAUGGAGAGCUUGCUCUCCUGAUGGUUAGCGGCGGACGGGUGAGUAACACGUAGGCAACCUGCCUGCAAGACCGGGAUAACCCACGGAAACGUGAGCUAAUACCGGAUAUCUCAUUUCCUCUCCUGAGGGRAUGAUGAAAGACGGAGCAAUCUGUCACUUGCGGAUGGGCCUGCGGCGCAUUAGCUAGUUGGUGAGGUAACGGCUCACCAAGGCGACGAUGCGUAGCCGACCUGAGAGGGUGAACGGCCACACUGGGACUGAGACACGGCCCAGACUCCUACGGGAGGCAGCAGUAGGGAAUCUUCCGCAAUGGGCGAAAGCCUGACGGAGCAACGCCGCGUGAGUGAUGAAGGUUUUCGGAUCGUAAAGCUCUGUUGCCAGGGAAGAACGUCCGGUAGAGUAACUGCUAUCGGAGUGACGGUACCUGAGAAGAAAGCCCCGGCUAACUACGUG
rnacentral:rRNA from 1 species